rnacentral:misc_RNA from 1 species
GAUGAAGAACGCAGCGAAAUGCGAUAAGUAGUGUGAAUUGCAGAAUUCAGUGAAUCAUCGAAUCUUUGAACGCACAUUGCGCCCGCCAGUAUUCUGGCGGGCAUGCCUGUUCGAGCGUCAUUACAACCCUCAGGCCCCCGGGCCUGGCGUUGGGGAUCGGCGGAGCCCCCCGUGGGCACACGCCGUCCCCCAAAUGCAGUGGCGGUCCCGCCGCAGCUUCCAUCGCGUAGUAGCUAACACCUCGCGACUGGAGAGCGGCGCGGCCACGCCGUAAAACACCCAACUCUUCAAGGUUGACCUCGGAUCAGGUAGGACUACCCGCUGAACUUAAGCAUAUCAAUAAGCGGAGGA